rnacentral:lncRNA from 1 species
CGUCAUACCAAGUCGCCUCAACACAAAUGGGGGGUGCGGCACUUCUCGUCCACCCCGGUGACCUAGGUCGCCUAGCACCGACCGUUUGUCGCCUACACGCGACCCCCACGCACCCAAACACACGGUUUCUAUUGGUAGAAGUUGCCUAACCCCGGCAGACUAACUCGCCCGCAUACGUAAAAAACAACAAUAACCGAUCGUCUAUUGGCAACAACAAGCUUUAGCAACAAUUCCUCUGACUCGCCCACACCUUCAAUAGAAAUUGGCACUUUCUUUGGUUGGGCUUGUGUGCAGGAUGCAGGGCCACCAUCAUAAUCAGUAAACUCGUCAGGGAGCUCAUUGAGAUAAAUGCCACGCAUCUGCAUUUCUUUAGAAGUCAGGAAUGAAAAAAUUGUUAGCAUUCAGAUUUUUUGUCGCAUCAUGCAAGCAAAAAUGUGUAUAGUACCAGCUUUUCUCCAGGCUAUUUUUUCGAUGGAUAAGUCUGUGUUUUUGUAAGAAACUAGAGUUUACUACUAGUUUCUUGCCGUAAGCAAUUAAAAAAUUUCCCAGCAUAUACACAAUUGCUUCUUUUUUCAUUCCAUUUUUCUUUUUUGCAGAACAAGGUACAAAACAAUAGUCAAGCAAAAUUCAAGGGCCAGGAGUCAGCAGCUUCUUAUGUUCAUAGCACCAAGUUCAGCAACAUUCAGUACAAAGGCUAGUUUUUGCAGUUUUUGUAGUUUGUAGGCAACAUUCAGCAACACCAGGUUCAACAACAACUCAGUACAGAGGCUAGAUUUUGCAGUUUUUGCUCUGAAAUAGACAGGGAAAUCUACUAGUUCCAUUCAGCAAUAGACAGGGAAAUCUACUAUUUCUUAAGACAGUACCUAGACAAACUGAAUUGCUCUUGAUAGACAUGUUUACCUUUUGCUGUUUCACUUUGAAGAGUUUUACCCAGUUGUGGGAGUUGAAUUGCUAUCAAUCUCUGGAAAUUGUGUCUGAUCAGGAGGAAGAAGUUGCAGGCACAACUGCAUUCAAGAUUUAUCACUA